AUACAUAAGAUGAGAAAGGAGGGGAAAGUAGGAGUGGUGGAGGGGAAAUGAGGAAGAAAAACAUCUUAGCGGUCACAACCUGGCUAUUUCACAACUUUUGGAAGAGAAGAAAUUGCAUCAUAUGGGAUCUGGAAAAAGCUAAUUCCAGCUGAAAUGCAUUUGGCACAACAUUGAAUGACUUAGCUGGAGAAUACAUGGAAGGCUCUGGGGUCAUGUCUGCAAGGAGUGGCACCUAACUCUAGUCCUCGUCUCAAAAUACAGCAUAAAGCCUAACUAGAACUGGCCCACAAUCAGAAUAUGUCCUCCACAGAAGUAUUCAGGAUAUUGAAAAAGAAAGCCUUUUGAGAUAAUCUUGGGCCUGUACAGCAAGCUAAUCACCAGCCUCAUCAGCCUAAGUAUUGAAACCAGUAGUACAGCAACAUAACAAAAACAGAUGACACAAACUCCCAAGCUCUGAAAAAAAGCAAUCAUAUGGAAAACUUAAAGAACUCUAUAUGAAAUCUGUUUCAAAUAAGAGGAGGAAGCAACAACCUCAUGCUGCGCCUUAAGGUAACUAGAGAUCAUGGUGUCUUCAUUUAGAAUAAGUCCCUGUAUGGUCUCACUUUUUGUGGAAGAGCAUCUGCACAAAGACCUUAUAUAAACUACAUUCCCAC
ensembl:lncRNA